GUGAGCUGGAGAUCAAGGGCGCAGAAAUGCCAUCUUCUUUGGGCAGAGGAAUACCUAUAAAGAGACAUAAAGAGACAUUUUUUAAAAAAUUUCAGGAAGUGACAUCACCCACGUGACAACAUACGUCAUUCCUGGCUUCACUUCAACAACAGUUCAUGAACAAAGCACCACUGAAAAAAUCCUGGAACACAGGAGGAAGGUUGAAGUACACCGUGCACCACAAAGACCAAGAUAGACUGCAUUAGAAGGGAAUUCCACCACUGUAUAAAAUGAUGAUUUUUGCCAAAAGUUGUUUACCUGUUCAGAAUAUCACAUCACUGCCAUCUAGAAUGCCUAAGGUGUAUAAGUGUGCCUUGACACCAGUUUCCUCCCACUGCAUGCAUAUGGGUACAAGCAUCAUAUUCCUUCAUUCUGCCUCCUGGUGAGUCAUCCCUGAGAAAACCUUUGUAGAGACUUAUUACUUUAUUAUAAACUAUCUUCCAAUUUCUCCUAACAGAGUUAGAUGGCAUUUUUUGACUUGUAAAGUUACAUGUACAUAAAUUGCAUUUCUCUGAGUUCAUCUCAGGAGGGUAGAAAGAACAUUGUAAGAUCUUUGUUAUUAAGUCAGACACUGAAUCUAAAAGGGUACACAACCACUGCCCAGGCACACACCAUAUUGUCAGGUCUCUAUAGAGGUCACACUUUUGUCACUUAUUAACCAGAACCAUCCUUCUUGAGAUGGGCUAAACUCUGAUCUACUUAUAUUGAUCAGCUUAACCAUACUGGCUCUGGAAAGUAUGCUGUUCUCUUGAAUUGACAGUAAGGAAGAGAAGAGUGAAGAGUGGGAGAGGGGGAGGGAACUUCUGGGAAAUAUGAUGGGGGGAAAAG